UUAACUAUCCUUGGGUUUAACUGUCUCCAGCUUAUCGUGAACCUAUCUCAACUCCCCAACUUGUUUUGAUGUUCAGUGUCCUUCAGCUGAAUUCACUUUCGGAUUCAAGAGAUGGCUGUAAUUCCUACCUGAUGGAUCAUUCGGGUGUGAUCUCUCUGAUCUCUUAGGUUUUCUGCUGAUCUAUGAUUUCUUUCACUUUUUUUCCGUAUUUUCUUUGUCACGCC
rnacentral:lncRNA from 1 species